rnacentral:tRNA from 1 species
GGCCCCAUCGUCUAGCGGCUAGGACGCAUCCCUCUCACGGAUGAAACAGGGGUUCGAUUCCCCUUGGGGUCA